GCAAGCAUGCUGGAAUGGUAGACAGUGCCCGCUUAAGAUGGGUUGCCCUAGUGGCGUGAGAGUUCAAGUCUCUCUGCUUGUA